rnacentral:lncRNA from 1 species
CCGAAUUCCUGAUGGACAGGAAGCACUGAGGUUACCCCUCACGGGUGUUCCAAACCACACGUUUGUGACGCGGAUGCAGAAAACCUUCUUGGAGUUUACUGUUAUAGAAUCCUUUUGGUUUCAAUCCUUUGGGGGAAAUGAGGAGGUAUUAGGCAACAAAGGUUAUACGGUUCCUGCAAGGUCCUAAAGCAAAUGGGAUUUGAGCCGUGGCCCCCAACUCCUAAGCGCAUGCUCUCUGAACCACGUUACGCACUACACGUCGUACAUGAUACGCCCCCUGUCUGUCCCAUCCGACCGUCCAUCUUCGCCAGAUUCACCAGUCUCCUGAAAGACAUGGCAAUACGUACGUUUCAGAAAUAAGCACAUAUCAGAAGGAAAUCCCAGGAUGAGUGAGCAGCAGCCCCCGGAUGUGCAGAGAGCAGGCAGCACGAUGCGGCAGUGCACAGAGACGCUCUUCACAGCGGCCCUGACUUUGCUGGGGAGGCAGUUUUUCACCUCCACUUCGUUCCCAAUCACGACAACAACGACAUCAUGGUGCAGAAGGCCUGGUUUGGCUCCAUACCGCGUGGACUCUCCUUUUCAACACACAGCAGGCCUCCAGCUCAGUACCUUUUUUGAUGUCUAUUUUACAUCUACCAAGAUCCAAGGAUUGUGGGAGGUGCCGGGUCCACUAAGGCAAACAAGUGCUGGUAAAGACCUGGUUUCUGGUCUCGAAGUCCUGCCACUGCAGGGCAGGAGACAGACCAGCCAUACACUCAUGUACAGAUCAUGAUGAGGUCCUGACCACGGCACAGAAGUGGGCCACCUGGAGGAGGGAACGAGCGUAGCCACCAGAAAAUUUGAAAUUAUGUAUGUGGCUCACAUUCUACAUCUGUGGGACUUUGCUGGUCUAUGAGAUGGGGACAGUUAAGUUUCCAGUCCCAGCAUGUCUAUCAAAGAUGCUGUGUGUCCUUGAGUAUGGCGCUUUCACAUCCAGCCCUAACUGACCUCACAGGGAUGGAAUAGAGAGGAUCAAACCAUGCAAUUUUCCUUCUGUGGAAACUCCAGUAUUCGUGAGCAUAACACGGCCCAGGGCCUCACUCUGCCUCUCCCGUCUCAGAAUAUGUCCACGGAGGCUGAAAUGUUACCUCAUCCUGGACUCACCAAAAAGUGGUUUGUACCAGAUCUAGAAGCUGGACCUUUGCACCCGGAUGUCCCCAGGUCUCAGGACACUCAUUUGUCAGACUUUAUGUGCAAAGGAGCUGGAGACGUCAUCUCUCUCAUCAUCGUGGGCCCCGAGGUUCCUCACGAUGGGUCUCGUUGUUAAGCUUUCCUCACCCAGAUUAUUGAGUAUUAUUCAUCAAACACAAUUGCUUUGGACUCCACCAGUUAGGAUUCUUACAGGGUACAGAAAAAACAACUCAAA